rnacentral:rRNA from 1 species
UACGUAGGGCGCAAGCGUUAUCCGGAAUUAUUGGGCGUAAAGAGCUCGUAGGCGGUUUGUCGCGUCUGCCGUGAAAGUCCGGGGCUCAACUCCGGAUCUGCGGUGGGUACGGGCAGACUAGAGAGAUGUAGGGGAGACUGGAAUUCCUGGUGUAGCGGUGAAAUGCGCAGAUAUCAGGAGGAACACCGAUGGCGAAGGCAGGUCUCUGGGCAUUAACUGACGCUGAGGAGCGAAAGCAUGGGGAGCGAACAGG